CCUUUUUCAUGUUGGCUUUUUAUUUCUUCAGCUUCAGCUUCCACUUUUCAAUUCAUUUGUAUGUAACAUUGUAACUCAGAUGAUCUUUGUCUUUGGUAUCUCAACUGGUUGCUUGACUUGUGUGUUUUGAUCACAGAAAGAGGGACACCAUGUCAAUUUUUCUUGAAGUUUUGAAAUGCCUCUUUUGUAUUGAAGAUGAGCGUGAGAAUUAUGAUUAUAAUCAAAUUCCCAGACAAACUUUUCCGAUAGAAACCGCUCGCCACCCUUGACUUCUACUAAUCAAUCUCCAGCCUUCUAUAACUAUAAAGCCCCAUCACCUCCAUCUCAACCAGUCAAAUCUCCCUUUAGUUCAUCUUCAUCAUCCCCUAAGCCUCCGACAUCUUCAUUGAAACCGCUGCAAUCUUCUUAUAUCAGUACAUCUUCUCCAUCUCCUGAAUUCCCAACAUCUUCUUCUUCAACAUUCCCUAAGCCCCCAACAUCUUCAUCUAAACUGCCUCAAUCAACUUUUGUUAAUCCAUCUUCUUCCAAUGCAUCUCCAUUUGUUCUUGAAUUCCCAACAUCUGUAUCUAAAUUACAACAAUCUUCUUCUGUUGAUCAGCGUUCAGCAUUGCCUAAACCCCCAACAUCUUCAUCUAAGCUGCCCCAAUCCACUCUUAUUAGUCCAUCUUCACCAUCCCUUCAACUCCAAACACCUUCAUCUAGACCACAUCCUCCGAAACUGUCUACAUCCUCCUCUAAACCACCUCAGGCUUCAUCAAAAUCACAUUCAUCAUCACCAAAUCCUCCAACAUCUUCAAAACCAUCUCCACCCUCGGGACGGCCAGCGUCUUCCACUACGCUCCCUCCAAUCUUUAAGCAAGUUCUAUCCCCAGCCUCCUCAGAUGUAAUAACUGAAAAGGGGAAGAAAAAUUAUGUAUCGGUGGUUGAAAAGGGUUCAUUACCUAUAUUCACGAUUCCUGAGGAUUUCAAAGAUUUGAUCAAGAAUGACAUUGUGCCUAAAGUUCUUAAACAGCCUCUGUCUUCCACGACAUAUAAGGAUUACUUUGCUGCUCUGUUAUACGCUGAAGAGUUCUACCAUGAGGUAUGCAAGAAUCUUGCCCAUUUGUAAUGCCUUUUCUUCUUAACAAGAUAGUGAAGAAAAUUAUGACAGAUAUCAUCCCAUUUAUAUAAAUAUGCGUGUAAAGCACUUCUCUAAGUUUCAAUUUUCGGAAGAUUUGACGAUAAUAUAUUAUUUCAAUGUUGAUUAUAUAGCACAGUUUUGAAUGAUUAGCAAAACAUAGCUUAUUUCAUAUUAGUAAUCAUUUUUCUCUGUACAAAGAUUUGAAUGGUUAAUUAUACUUGAUACUUCUUUGUUUGCAUUGGUGACUGGCUUUUGUCUUAAAAUGAUUUGAGUUUCAUGUACAUGCCUUUGCAACUAAAUUUUGAUGCAAAAAGACAAAUCUAAAUACUGAUCCAAAAGGACAAAAAGAAUGUCUUAAGAAAACUUUGUAUGAAUGAUGGAAUGUAGAAUGCUGUGGUACAACAUUCUUCUUUUCUAAAUUUUGUAUGAUUUUUCAUGCUUACUUUGAAAGAAAUAAGAAAACUUUUGCUGUUAUUUGAACCAGAAAUGGGCUGAUUUCAAUAUGAAGAAUGUGACACUGAAGUUGCAAAAAGCAUCAGUUUACAAAAAUCUAGACAAGGAAGAGAAAACCUUCGUAGAAUUUAUGAUUGAUUCUGUUCCUGAAAAUCGGCCAUUCCUUUUGUCGAGGGACUUAGUCUAUGUGAGGCCAUCAGGUACAAAUGCUGAGCGGUUUCAGGUAAACUCUGAACAUCCAUUAACAUAUGGCAAUUUCUUAAAACUAUCCGCAUUAUAAUUAUCUUAUUACAUCUUAUGCAGGGCAUUAUAAAUCGCAUUAUUAGGAGCAAUCUUGUAUUAGUGGAAUUUGAAGAUGAAUUUUAUGAUUAUCAUUAUUCGACCCAAAAAUAUGAUGUCAGCUUCUCAUUCAAUCGAGUAUGUUUGAAAAGAGCUCACCAAGCAGUUCAAACAGCAUCGGAUACUUUGUUUCAGAACUUCCUCUUUCCUGAUGGUGUUUCCCGUACGAGCAUUCCCAUCGCACCAGCGCUGCUGUCUGGCCAUCACAAACUUGACGCCAAACAAUUAUCUGCUGUUCGUCAAAUUUUAAGCAUUAAGGGCUCACCACCUUACUUGGUGGCUGGCCAGCUUUGUGUUGAAAGGAUUAAGGGCUCACCACGUUACUUGGUGGCUGGCCAGCUUUGCGUUGAAAGGAACGUUUUUAGGCCGUCGAGAACUGGAGCAGUUGUUUGUGAAGCAGUGCACCAGUUAUGUCAAACCUCACUCAAAAAUAGGAUUCUGAUAUGUGCUCCUAGUAACCGCUGUUGUGAUGGGAUUAUGAGAAGCUUGUUGAAAGUGAUUCCAGAGUCAGAUAUGUUUCGAGCCAACGCUGCAUUCCGUGAGAAAGAUGAGGUGCCUGAUGACAUCCUCCCAUCAUGCCUUUAUGAAGACCCUUAUUUCUCUUGUCCUCCAACUGAGAAGCUUAAAAAAUUCAGGGUGAUUUUCUCGACUCUCAUGAGUAGCUUUCGGCUACAUGAUAAAGGCCUAACUUCUGGACAUUUUAGUCAUAUUUUUCUGGUGGAUGCUUCAUCUGCCACUGAGCCGGAAACAGCAGUGGCCUUAACUAAUUUUGCAGAAAAAAGUACUACUGUUAUAGUCACUGGUCAACCAGGAGAUAAUAAACGUUGGGUUCGCGCAGACAUGGCAAGGCAAAAGGGACUGAAGAUUUCGUACUUCGAGAGACUUUUCAAGUCAAGGCCAUAUAGAAGCCUCAAUCCAAUGCUGAUCACACAAUUGGACCAGUAGCAAGAGCCACACUCAGCAACACCUACAGACUUUUGCAUUAAGCUUAAAACGCUUUGCAUAAUUGCACGAAAUAUUUGACUGUUUGCUGUUUAAAUUUCUUGGUUCAUAAGCCACAACCUAAAGAUAUUAGGGUGACUGUUUUGUUGUAAGUAGCCUUCUGCAAAGUGUGGUGAUUGUUUUUAUUUGUGACUGUUUUCUUGUCAAAUUAUUAAUCGCCCUCCUAGGCUACCUUACCUCAACCUCCUGCAUGUUCAGAUCCUCUUCUAUCUGAAUCAAUUUUGUUUCUUAACACAUUAGAACCAUGACCAGAUUGAUUACAUCAGUAACAUUUGGCUGAUAGCAGAGGAGCAUAAGGAUUUUCAGGUGCA
rnacentral:lncRNA from 1 species